AGUGAACGCUGGCGGUAGGCCUAACACAUGCAAGUCGAACGGCAGCACAGUAAGAGCUUGCUCUUACGGGUGGCGAGUGGCGGACGGGUGAGGAAUACAUCGGAAUCUACUUUUUCGUGGGGGAUAACGUAGGGAAACUUACGCUAAUACCGCAUACGACCUACGGGUGAAAGCAGGGGAUCUUCGGACCUUGCGCGAUUGAAUAAGCCGAUGUCGGAUUAGCUAGUUGGCGGGGUAAAGGCCCACCAAGGCGACGAUCCGUAGCUGGUCUGAGAGGAUGAUCAGCCGCACUGGAACUGAGACACGGUCCAGACUACUACGGGAGGCAGCAGUGGGGAAUAUUGGACAAUGGGCGCAAGCCUGGUCCAGCCAUACCGCGUGGGUGAAGAAGGCCUUCGGGUUGUAAAGCCCUUUUGUUGGGAAAGAAAAGCAGCAGGUUAAUACCCCGCUGUUCUGACGGUACCCAAAGAAUAAGCACCGGCUAACUUCGUG
rnacentral:rRNA from 1 species